UACGUAGGGGGCAAGCGUUGUCCGGAUUUAUUGGGCGUAAAGAGCGUGUAGGCGGUCCGGUAAGUCCGCUGUGAAAGUCGGGGGCUCAACCCUCGAAUGCCGGUGGAUACUGUCGGGCUAGAGUGCGGAAGAGGCGAGUGGAAUUCCUGGUGUAGCGGUGAAAUGCGCAGAUAUCAGGAGGAACACCUAUUGCGAAGGCAGCUCGCUGGGACGUAACUGACGCUGAGACGCGAAAGCGUGGGGAGCAAACCGG
rnacentral:rRNA from 1 species